UUCUUCUGAAAACGGUUGUUG
rnacentral:misc_RNA from 1 species